CACACGCACCACUUAGUCCAUGGCCAGCUCCCGCGUCCCAGGAUAAACUAAGCAAUCACUGCCCUGCUGCUUUCGGGUCGUCAGCGUCCCCUGUCUCCGAGUGGAGGCCAAGGAGGAACUGCGCACCGAUGUGGGGGUGGGAGGCGCCUGGCGGUUUCGCGCUUUGCCCGCCUUUUGAUUGCGCAGGAGUAGCGCGCUGGCGGGAGCCGCAGGGCAAAUAGCCCGCCCGGGUGCUUUGGUGUGUGGCACUUGCUGCCAUUCUGCCGCUGUAGGGUGAGCGGCGGUGGCGGGACGAGCAUCCAGGCGGCAUCCGGCGGCAGCAGCAGCAGACACAGCUCCACCCUGAGGACGCAGAAGCCCAGCCUCCAGCCCGACUGCCAGUCCCAGAGCCGGCUGCACCCCCGUCAGCGGGAGCUCUAGAGGGAGUCGGCCUGCUCCACAAAUGAUCCAACUUCGCGGAGGGCCUCGCGAACACAGACAACGCCAACCUGGACAAGAAAGCGGCCAGCACUGCUUAGGCGGCUUCCCACGACGCGCUUUGCUGAGUGCGGAAGUUUACCCUUCAGAUGAAGAUGCCAGAGUUGGGCAUCCCCAAAGUGAGGAUCAAAGAAAUGCUUUGCAUGGGGCUUGAGAAAACAUCUUACUGUUGAAGAACAGAACAUCUUACUAUCUAAGAACCUGAAUAGGAGAUGCCUUCAGUAGUGGGUGUUUGAAAAGUUGGUCAGAGAAGGGGAGAAGAUGGUUGAUUAAGGGGGGAUGGUGACAAUUAUUUUAUAACUUAUAGAACGACAGAUAUUUAUGUAAAAGUUGAUAGUUUGGGUGGAAUAAUCAUGAGCAUGUUUCUGAACUUAAUGUAAAAUAUCCAGAGACCCCUAAAAUCACUGCUUAAAUUACUCGGGCCUUGUGGUGUUUGGAAAGAGAACACUUUGGAAGUAUAAUGGUAAAAAUAAUUUUAUACAGAAAAAGAGAAGAGAAAACUUAACCACAGGUUUCUCAAAUCGCUGUUAUUCUUGAAUCAUCUGAAAUCAGUACACGUGACUGGCACCAAUAUAUAUCAGAGAAUAAAUCAUUGCACAAG
rnacentral:lncRNA from 1 species